rnacentral:ncRNA from 2 species
AGCUUUGCAACAUUCAUUGGUUCGCGCCUCCGGCGUGAUUAAAAGGGAAUCCGGUGCAAAUCCGGAGCAGUACCCGCUGCUGUAAGUUCACUAACGAUGCUCUUGUCUGAUGUCACUGGGAUCGAAAUUUGAAUGAUCGAAUGACUGAAUGAUUGAAUGAUUGAAUAGAAUUUAUUCGGUCAUUCAAUCAUUCAGUCAUUCAAUCAUUCCCCCGGGAAGGCGCAAGAGUUGAACGAGCCAGAAGACCUGCCGUUGAAUGUUCCGGUUU